rnacentral:tRNA from 1 species
GCGGAAGUGGCGGAAUUGGCAGACGCCUACGGCUCAGGACCGUAGGCCCGAAAGGGCGUGGGGGUUCAACUCCCCCCUUCCGCACCA